CCUGGCUUAGGAUGAACGCUAGCUACAGGCUUAACACAUGCAAGUCGAGGGGCAGCAUGUUGGUUGCUGCAACCAAUGAUGGCGACCGGCGCACGGGUGAGUAACGCGUAUCCAACCUUCCCCUUAGUAGAGGAUAGCCCGGCGAAAGUCGGAUUAAUACUCUAUGUUCUUCAAUGCGGACAUCUAAGUUGAAGCAAAGAUUUAUCGCUAAGGGAUGGGGAUGCGUCUGAUUAGGUUGCAGGCGGGGUAACGGCCCACCUGGCCUACGAUCAGUAGGGGUUCUGAGAGGAAGGUCCCCCACACUGGUACUGAGACACGGACCAGACUCCUACGGGAGGCAGCAGUGAGGAAUAUUGGUCAAUGGGCGCGAGCCUGAACCAGCCAAGUAGCGUGCAAGGACGACUGCCCUAUGGGUUGUAAACUGCUUUUAUCAGGGAAUAAAGUGAGGCACGCGUGCCUUUUUGUAUGUACCUGAUGAAUAAGGACCGGCUAAUUCCGUGCCAGCCGCUGC
rnacentral:rRNA from 1 species